rfam:Anaerostipes sp. CAG:276 genomic scaffold, scf24
CCGUGCAGCCGGGGAGGCAGCGGUGCCCUGUAUCUGCAAUCCGCUAAAGCAGAGGUGAUGGCCUGUUUCGGGCUUUUCCCUGUGGAGCUGCCCUUCAUAAGUGGCGUUGAUGUUUGGGUCUUACGCAAUGAGAAUCUAUGAACCGUGUCAGGUCGGGAACGAAGCAGCACUAAGUAGAACCUUUCAUGUGCCGUAAGGGUGCCUGGGCUGAGUUAACUGUGGAGGUAACGUCUGUGGAGAGAGUUCAACGCAGGCUGCACGG